CAGUAAAGCAGUCAGCAGUGUCAGAGGAACACAGGAAGUUGCCUGUCUGGGGACUGAAAUGCAAUCAAGACCUGGCAUGCGCACGACAUUGUCUCGGUAGAUCAUAACUCUAUUUCGCGACACUGCUCUGUCCUUUGACUCCCUCGUCUUCCUGUGCAGGUCCUGGGUGCGAAACCUUCCAUCCCUGCUGGCUCCUCACCCUGUCCCCACCGCCGGCACUGCAGGCUAUCGCUCAGCCCGGUGCUGAAUGCAAAACAACAGACAGACAAGGACCACAAGAAAGAAACCAAGUUCCCCUGUGCAACUUUCAAAUAUCCCCUCCGAGAAGUAAGAACGAGUCAAUGGAGAGAAACUGACGAGAGAGACCUGAGGGACUGAGAGGCUGCGCUUGGGAGCAAGAGGACCGUGGUGCAGAGGCACAGACAUCAGGGACCUCAGUUCUGAGCUCUUUCUGGAAACUACCCCGGGAGAGAACCAAGUACACAGGGGCAAAGCAGCAGUGUCCCGUUCACGCCUACGCGUGUUUGCUCAAAUCACGUGAGGUUUGUUUAUUUUCAUUUUCAAAUGCAUCAACAUUACAAUAUCCAGCCUCUCUGAAAAAAAAAAAAAAAAAAGACGAUCUGUGUCUGUGUUUGCCCUUGAGAAGCCAUCAGCAGGACUGAACAGAGGUUCCCAAAGCACGGAUCCUGAGAGCCCAGCCGCGCACAACUCCGACUUCUCCACCUCCCUGCCACAGGCUCCCACUGGUGUGGAGUGUAGGGUAAAGAUGUCUGAAGAAGGUGAAAGGUUGUGAUUUGAAACGUGCCUCUCCCUUUCACAGGCACGCUUUCCCGACUCUGUCUGAGUCCGUGCCUUUCCUUCUGUGGAUGGCUUGCUGAUGCUACUGUCUCCGUGGGACAGAUCGCUGGAUGGAUGCAAAUAGUUUGUAAUGAUUGGAACGAAAGUACCAAAUGCACACUAAGCGGGAUAGCUGUUAGCUUCCCCUGGUCAUUCCUUUGGGUUAAGCAUUACCUACGGGAUGUACUUUCUUUUCAAAUACAACCAGCCCUGGGUAGUCACUAUAUUGAGCAAUGUGUGGUGUGGAAUGCUGCCCUCUGGACCUGGCUGGACGACCGCAUUUUUGAAAUCAGAGAACCUGUGAUUAUCUUCAGGAGGCCCUCAUGAUACCAGGCAGGAGCAAACAGGACAAAGGGGUCAGAAAACUCAGUGUAAGAACACUGCUGCCCAGUCACAAUCAGGCACUAGCGAAAGCACAGCCUUUGUUUGGCGCUGCCUCAUCUUGCCCUUGAUCGCCGAGCCUUAUAGUGUCAAACCAGCUGAGGGAACCAUGGGUCUUCUUCUUCUUCUAAUGUCAUGGAGAAAAAUGUUCCUUCUGAGUAGAAAAGACAUCAGUGAGCCCCAACAGCAUUGACCUGCCUCAUUCCGAUGGCAGUUCUCUGAGCUGCUCCAGCUUGUUGCUUCCUGGAGGCUGCACAGACCUGGAUAAUAACCAACAACAUCCUGCCUGCUUCUCCCAGCAAGAACCCCUCACAUCCUAUACUCUAGCUUUUGUUUGUUUGUUUGUUUUUGUUUUUUUGUUGUUUUUGUAACGUCUCCCUAAUGAGCAUCCUCUGAUCAACUCCUUGCAGCCGUCUGAUAGGCUAUGAAGGAUAAUUGCGCUGGAAAAUGAGGCCAGAUUGUUAAACAAUUAAA